rnacentral:rRNA from 1 species
UACGAAGGGGGCUAGCGUUGUUCGGAUUUACUGGGCGUAAAGCGCACGUAGGCGGAUCGUUAAGUCAGGGGUGAAAUCCUGGAGCUCAACUCCAGAACUGCCUUUGAUACUGGCGAUCUUGAGUCCGGAAGAGGUGAGUGGAACUCCUAGUGUAGAGGUGGAAUUCGUAGAUAUUAGGAAGAACACCAGUGGCGAAGGCGGACUCACUGGUCCGGUACUGACGCUGAGGUGCGAAAGCGUGGGGAGCAAACAGGG